UGGGGAAUCUUCCGCAAUGGACGAAAGUCUGACGGAGCAACGCCGCGUGAGUGAAGAAGGUUUUCGGAUCGUAAAACUCUGUCUUUUGGGGCGAACGUGAGUAUGGUGAACAAUCAUAGUCAGUGACGGUACCGAAAGGAGGAAGCCACGGCUAACUACGUGCCAGCAGCCGCGGUAAUACGUAGGUGGCAAGCGUUGUCCGGAAUUAUUGGGCGUAAAGAGCGCGUAGGCGGGAUAGUCAGUCUGUUGUAAAAGUGCGGGGCUCAACCCCGUGAUGGCAAUGGAAACAGCUAUUCUUGAGUGCAGGAGAGGAAAGUGGAAUUCCCAGUGUAGCGGUGAAAAUGCGUAGAUAUUGGGAGGAACACCAGUGGCGAAGGCGACUUUCUGGACUGUGUCUGACGCUGAGGCGCGAAAGCCAGGGGAGCGAACGGGAUUAGAUACCCCGGUAGUCCUGGCCGUAAAACGAUGGGUACUAGGUGUGGGAGGUAUCGAACCCCUUCCGUGCCGGAGUUAAACGCAAAUAAGUACCCCGCCUGGGGAGUACGGUCGCAAGAACUGAAACUCAAAUGAAUUGACGGGGUCAUAGCUGUUUCC
rnacentral:rRNA from 1 species